AAUUGAAGCAUUUGGGCUAAUAGCCACUUAUCAAUGAGUGCAUACCAUGUGUGUUUUUCUGUGAUUGGGUUACCUCACUCAGGAUGAUAUUUUCCAGUUCCGACCAUUUGCCUACGAGUUUCAUAAAAUCAUUGUUUUUGAUAGCUGAGUAAUAUUCCAUUGUGUAGAUGUACCACAUUUUCUGUAUCCAUUCCUCUGUUGAAGGGCAUCUGGGUCCUUUCCAGCUUCUGGCUAUUAUAAAUAAGGCUGCGAUGAACAUAGUGGAGCACGUGUCUUUUUUAUAUGUUGGGGCAUCUUUUGGGUAUAUGCCCAAGAGAGGUAUAGCUGGAUCCUUAGGCAGUUCAAUGUCCAAUUUUCUGAGGAACCUCCAGACUGUUUUCCAGAAUGGUUGUACCAGUCUGCAACCCCACCAACAAUGGAGGAGUGUUUCUCUUUCUCCACAUCCUCACCAGCAUCUGCUGUCACCUGAGUUUUUGAUCUUAGCCAUUCUCACUGGUGUGAGGUGAAAUCUCAGGGUUGUUUUGAUUUGCAUUUCCCUUAUGACUAAAGAUGUUGAACAUUUCUUUAGGUGUUUCUCAGCCCUUUGACAUUCCUCAGCUGUGAAUUCUUUGUUUAGCUCUGAACCCCAUUUUUUAAUAGGGUUAUUUGUCUCCCUGCGGUCUAACUUCUUGAGUUCUUUGUAUAUUCUGGAUAUAAGGCCUCUAUCUGUUGUAGGAUUGGUGAAGAUCUUUUCCCAAUCUGUUGGUUGCCGUUUUGUCCUAACCACAGCCUCUUUAAUAGUUUCAGGCAUACCUGGCUAUUGCCAGGUAACUGUGGGGAUGAGCAUACCAGGAUGUUGCCAGGUAACUGAGAGUGGAGCUUAGAGAGAAUGCUAACAUUCCCUGUUUUGGUUUAAUUAAAAACUAAAAACUAGAAGGAGUUAAUGGUAGAGUAGGAAUAGAGUCAUCGUGAUCUCUGUAUACUUCCAGCUGGCUUUUGGGUGAAAUGUCUCCAGGGAACCUAGAAAAGUGGGUGUGGGGAUGUUUGUGCAGUCUUAGAUUUGUGUAAUUCCUUGUUUCCCAGGAUCUGUACAACCAUCCGAGGAAAGGUCAUAAAGAACAGGUCCAAUAGGAGCAUCCGUGUCUGUGAGAAGGGAUCAGAACAUCUGGAGAUCACCUCUCUGGAGCUGUCCUAGAUCUAGUUUUUUUGUGGAGCAGAAGAAGCAAGAAAUUGUGAUUACAUUUGGAUUAUAUACCGUCAACUGCUUGAUGGAAGCUCUCAGAGGACAGUUACGUUAGGCUUGGUCUCCAAGCAUAACAAAGUAGACCUGAUUGUGAGUAAAUGAGGGUUUAUCUGAGGGAGGCUUACCCUCUCAGAAGAGGGAGAAGACUGGGAGGAGUUGCAGCA